GAGAGGCAGAGACCCAAGCGGAGGGAGAAGCAGGCUCCACGCAGGGAGGCCCGACGUGGGACUCGAACCCGGGCCCCCGGGGUCACAACCUGGGCCAGAGGCAGACGCUCGCCCAACGGAGCCCGCAGGAGCCCCCGAGGGAGGCUUCCUUGAGACACACCCAGCUGCCCCCUUGCAUCAGCGGGAACCGCAUGUGCCAUAGAGUGUGAAUGAGAAGGAGACGCGGAGGCAGCACCAACCCCACGGAGACCGCGAGCCUCCCGCACGGACCAACAGGCGUCGAAACCUUCCCACCAGUGAGUCUGGCCCCCUUUGUUGGGCUCGGACCUUUUUGCGCAUCUCAGACAAUUGGAUCUACGGAUGCGAAAGAUGCACACGUGGAUGUCGUGCGCUACCUUUUUCGCCCUGUGAUCUUCCCAGCGGUCACAAUGUUAAAGAAAAUCCGAUUAUUCAAAAAAUAUGUAGUUAUUAUUGCCCAGAAGGUUGAAGGACUUUCCCCAAAGGAACCAGUGGAGAACGAAGAGUCUAAAGGUCCUCCAAGCAGGUCCCAGGACGGAAGGCCGCGUGCCGCAGCCU